rnacentral:rRNA from 1 species
CCUACGGGUGGCAGCAGUGAGGAAUAUUGGUCAAUGGGCGGAAGCCUGAACCAGCCAAGUAGCGUGCAGGAUGACGGCCCUACGGGUUGUAAACUGCUUUUAUACGGGAAUAACGCGCCUUACGUGUAGGGCCUUUCAUGGUCCCUGUGAAUAAGGCCUGGCUAAUUCCGUGCCCGCAGCCGCGGUAAUACGGAAGGUCCGAGCGUUACCCGGAUUUAUUGGGUUUAAAGGGUGCGUAGGCGGGCUCUUAAGUCAGCGGUAAAAAUUCGGGGCUCAACCCCGUCCGGCCGUUGAAACUGGGGGCCUUGAGUGGGAGAGAAGUAGGCGGAAUGCGUGGUGUAGCGGUGAAAUGCAUAGAUAUCACGCAGAACCCCGAUUGCGAAGGCAGCAUGCCGGCGCCCGACUGACGCUGAAGCACGAAAGUGCGGGGAUCGAACAGGAUUAGAUACCCUAGUAGUC